rnacentral:rRNA from 1 species
AUUCCAGCUCCAACAGUGUAUGCUAAAGUUGUUGCGGUUGAAAAGCUCGUAGUUGGAUAUUGGGCGAGCGUUGUCGGUCCGUCGCAGGGCGUGUACUGGCCUCGUUCGCCUCGACUUCGGUUCUCCGUCGGUGCUCUUGACUGAGUGUCGGCGGUGGCCGAGAAGUUUACUUUGAAAAAAUUAGAGUGUUCAAAGCAGGCUGGUCGCCUGAAUAGUGUUGCAUGGAAUAAUGGAAUAGGACCUCGGUUCUAUUUUGUUGGUUUUCGGAACGGAGGUAAUGAUUAAGAGGGACAGACGGGGGUGUCCGUACUCUGCCGUUAGAGGUGAAAUUCUUGGAUCGGCGGAAGACGAACUACUGCGAAAGCAUUCACCAAGAAUGUUUUCAUCG